UUUUUUUUUUCCAAGUUUGAAGUUGAAAUCAGAUGCAGUUUGAAACGACGGGUUACGCCUGUGAUGUUCGUAGGAAAGCACAUCAUACUGUGAUAUAUUGCGUGAGAUUUAUGCUUUCAUAUGUAAUUUCUUCUGUCCGCGAAAGCACGGCGACGCGAUGCUCGGUGACGUUUCUGUACGGCACGGCGUGUGAUGAACUCGAUGAACCACGUUCGCAUUAAGGUGAAGUAAGUCGCUGGGGGAAGUCUAACGAGGAUGUUAUGAGGAUAAAUCUUAGCCGUAGUUUAUGGCGCAUGGCCGGAAGUCGUUUUAUUUUUAGCCUCCACCAGCAUUCGGACGUCUCCGCCUGCGGCGCAGGAGCGUGACGCCGCUGUCUGAUGGCGGUGUAUUGUGUUGCUGUCACACUGAUUGGCGUGUUACCCCUCUCUGCCCACUCUUACACUUUGACUCAGUGUGCCGUGGGAAAAGAACAAUGAAGCCUGUGGCCUGACGGUGUAAAGUAUGGAACAAGGAAACCGCGUGAGACAAAACUCCAGUUCACUGCAUCCUGCAAACAUUCUGUAAUGAAUGUAUAUCAAUGUUGUGUGUGUGUGUGUGAGAGGGUGAGGGGGGUGUGAGAGAGGGUGUGAGAGGGGUGUGAGAGGGGUGUGAGAGAGGGUGUGAGUGUGUAAGAGAGAGCGAGAGGGUGUGUGAGAGAGCGAGAGAGAAGGGUGUGUGUGAGAGAGAGAGAGAGAGAGAGAGAGAGAGAGAGAGAGAGUGGGGGGUGUGAAUCUGAGUGUGUGUGAGAGAGAGAGGGGGUGUGAGUGUGUAAGUGAGAAGGGGUGUGUGUGAGAAGAGAAGGGGUGAGUGUGAUAGAGAGAGGGUAGGGGGGUGUGAAUCUGAGUGUGUGUGAGAGAGAGAGAGAGAGGAGUGUGUGAGAGAGAGGGGGGGUGUGAAUCUGAGUGUGUGAAUCUGAGUGUGUGAGAGAGGGGGUGUGAGUGUGAUAGAGAGAGGGUGGUGUGUGAGAGAGAGGGGGUGAGGGGGGGAGAGGGUGUGUGUGAGAGAGAGAGAGGGGUGUGUGUGAGUGAGACAGAGGGGGUGUGUGAGUGAGAGAGGGUGUGUGUGUGAGAGAGAGGACGGGGUGUGUCCGUCAUAGUAACGCGACGCCGUGCUGUCGUCAUAGUAACGCGACGCCGUGCUGUCGUUUUCAUCGUGCUCACGUGAGCUUUUUUCUUUUUUCCAAAUGGUUUUCACGUGAUGGAGCGUUUCCUAUGUACCUCGAUGUUUUGGAAAACAGCGUGUGGUUUGUUUUGGGGUUUUUUGUGUUUUUUAAACACGCGGAUGGAGAUCAGGCCAGUGUGGAUGGGCGGGGCUGGGUGCGUGACUGAUUGCGCAAUCCUAAGACGUGUGAGCGGCGUUGUCUGUAAAAGACUCGGGGCUCCGUUUCUCCCUCGCUCUCCGCAGCUCCUCGUCCGUUAUCUUUACCGAGUCGGCGCUCGCAUCCGCGUUCUCGUCUGCGUACGAAUCCGAUAGUGACCGUCUUGUGUGUGUGUGUGUGUGUGUGUGUGUGUGUGUG
ensembl:lncRNA